rnacentral:rRNA from 1 species
CACCUGCGCCACGAGUGGGAGUCACGGUUAUUGGGUCUAAAGUGUUCGUAGCCGGUAUUGCAAGUCUUUUGUGAAAUCAUCAAGCUUAACUUGAUGGCGCGCAAAAGAUACUGCUUUACUAGGGACUGGGAGGAGCUGAGGGUAUUCCGGGGGGAGCGGUAAAAUGUGAUAAUCCUCGGAGGACCACCGGUGGCGAAAGCGUUCAGCUAGAACAGGUCCGACGGUGAGGAACGAAGGCUGGGGGAGCAAAACGG